UACAGAGGUCUCAAGCGUUGUUCGGAUUCAUUGGCGUAAAGGGUGUGUAGGUGGCGCCGUAAGUCGGGUGUGAAAUUUCGGAGCUUAAUUCCGAAACUGCAUUCGAUACUGCGGUGCUUGAGGACUGGAGAGGAGACUGGAAUUCAUGGUGUAGCAGUGAAAUGCGUAGAGAUCAUGAGGAAGACCAGUGGCGAAGGCGGGUCUCUGGACAGUUCCUGACACUGAGACACGAAGGCCAGGGGAGCAAACGGG
rnacentral:rRNA from 1 species